AUUUCUGAGGAAUUUGGAAAUACUGUGAGUGUCUUGUAAUUGGGCAGCGGCCAGACAACCGUAGAGAUGGUAUCCACAGAUGGUGGGUUUUGCUUCUUUCUCACUUGUCUACUGAUUCCAUCCCACAUUU